GUGCCAGCCGCCGCGGUAAUACGUAGGUCCCGAGCGUUGUCCGGAUUUAUUGGGCGUAAAGCGAGCGCAGGUGGUUUAUUAAGUCUGGUGUAAAAGGCAGUGGCUCAACCAUUGUAUGCAUUGGAAACUGGUAGACUUGAGUGCAGGAGAGGAGAGUGGAAUUCCAUGUGUAGCGGUGAAAUGCGUAGAUAUAUGGAGGAACACCGGUGGCGAAAGCGGCUCUCUGGCCUGUAACUGACACUGAGGCUCGAAAGCGUGGGGAGCAAACAGGAUUAGAUACCCUGGUAGUCCACGCCGUAAACGAUGAGUGCUAGAUGUAGGAGCUAUAAGUUCUCUGUAUCGCAGCUAACGCAAUAAGCACUCCGCCUAGGGGAGUACGACCGCAAGGUUGAAACU
rnacentral:rRNA from 1 species